rnacentral:rRNA from 1 species
UACGGGGGGAGCAAGCGUUGUUCGGAUUUACUGGGCGUAAAGGGCGCGUAGGCGGCCUCUGCAAGUCGACUGUGAAAUCUCCGGGCUUAACCCGGAAAGGUCAGCCGAUACUGCAGGGCUAGAGUGCAGAAGGGGCAACUGGAAUUCUCGGGUGUAGCGGUGAAAUGCGUAGAUAUCGAGAGGAACACCUGCGGCGAAGGCGGGUUGCUGGGCUGACACUGACGCUGAGGCGCGAAAGCUAGGGGAGCGAACGGG